rnacentral:rRNA from 1 species
GGGAUAACCAGUCGAAAGAUUGGCUAAUACCGGAUACGACCGAGAAGGCCUCGGCCUUCUCGGGGAAAGGUGGCCUCUGCUUGCAAGCUACCACCCGAAGAGCGGCCUACGCACCAUUAGCUAGUUGGCGGGGUAAAGGCCCACCAAGGCUGAGAUGGUUAGCUGGUCUGAGAGGAUGGCCAGCCACACUGGGACUGAGACACGGCCCAGACUCCUACGGGAGGCAGCAGUGGGGAAUAUUGCGCAAUGGGCGAAAGCCUGACGCAGCGACGCCGCGUGGGUGAUGAAGGCCUUCGGGUCGUAAAGCCCUGUCGGGAGGGAAGAAACAUCGCCGACCCAAUACGUUGGCGACUUGACGGUACCUCCUAAGGAAGCACCGGCUAACUCCGUGCCAGCAGCCGCGGUAA